GUGCUCACCUUGGCAGCACAUACACUAAAUUGGAACAAUAUAGAGAUUAGCAUGGCCCCCACGCAAGGAUAACACACAAACUCGUGAAGCAUUCCAUAAUGUU
ensembl:snRNA U6 U6 spliceosomal RNA